GGGCACUAGUCAGUGAAACUAACAAAUCGAGGAGUCGCAGCUAGACCUGCAUCUCUGAGCUGGGAACGUUCUCCUUGGAGAGAGGCUUAGGAUGUGGCUGGAUAUCAGCUCCAAAGAUAUUACCAGGUGAAACAGUCCCCCACUCCAUGCAAGAUGGAAGCCUCUGGGACCAGUGAAACUGGCUCACCGAAACUGUGGCCAGGUGUCCAUACUUUGGGAUGAAGUAAUAACCUCUGGGUGAACAUGAUAAUAAGCAAACUCAGAUUCCAGAGAUGAGUGUUCCUAUGUGUCAGAUCCAUCCAUCUGUGUUCCUCAAUUGUGCUGAAAAGUGU